GAUGAAGAACGUAGCGAAAUGCGAUAAGUAGUGUGAAUUGCAGAAUUCAGUGAAUCAUCGAAUCUUUGAACGCACAUUGCGCCCCCCGGCAUUCCGGGGAGCAUGCCUGUUCGAGCGUCUCUUGGAAUACCCCUCACGCCGGCGGAGGCGUGGUCAUGGCGGCGGUGGCGUGCCCCGGGAGGGAGGCCACCGCGCUGGAAUCCAUGGGCGGACGCCUGCCGCGUGGCCGAGCGUGAUAAGACGCACUGGCGCUCGCGCGCGGCGAGGCUGCCGGCCCUGGCCCGCUCGUCGGGCGGGGACAGCAACACUUGGGAACUCCUCGAAUCAGGUAGGGAUACCCGCUGAACUUAAGCAUAUCAAUAAGCGGAGGA
rnacentral:misc_RNA from 1 species